AACGAACGCUGGCGGCGUGCCUAACACAUGCAAGUCGAACGAGAACGUUCCCUUCGGGGAGCUAGUAAAGUGGCGAAAGGGUGAGUAACACGUGAGUAAUCUGCCCUCGAGACCGGGAUAACAUCUCGAAAGGGGUGCUAAUACCGGAUAAGCCCACCGGACCCUAUGAUCCAGCGGGAAAAGGUAGCCUCUCCAUGGAAGCCUCUGCUCGAGGAGGAGCUCGCGGACCAUUAGCUUGUUGGUAGGGUAACGGCCUACCAAGGCUAUGAUGGUUAGCCGGCCUGAGAGGGUGUCCGGCCACACUGGAACUGAGACACGGUCCAGACUCCUACGGGAGGCAGCAGUGGGGAAUAUUGCGCAAUGGGGGAAACCCUGACGCAGCAACGCCGCGUGAGUGACGAAGGCUUUCGGGUCGUAAAGCUCUGUCAGAGGGGAAGAAUUGCUUCUCCGUGAAUAGCGGAGGGCGUGACGGUACCCUCAAAGAAGCCCCGCUAACU
rnacentral:rRNA from 1 species